rnacentral:rRNA from 1 species
GCGAACGCUGGCGGUAGGCCUAACACAUGCAAGUCGAACGGCAGCACAGUAAGAGCUUGCUCUUACGGGUGGCGAGUGGCGGACGGGUGAGGAAUACAUCGGAAUCUACUUUUUCGUGGGGGAUAACGUAGGGAAACUUACGCUAAUACCGCAUACGACCUACGGGUGAAAGCAGGGGAUCUUCGGACCUUGCGCGAUUGAAUGAGCCGAUGUCGGAUUAGCUAGUUGGCGGGGUAAAGGCCCACCAAGGCGACGAUCCGUAGCUGGUCUGAGAGGAUGAUCAGCCACACUGGAACUGAGACACGGUCCAGACUCCUACGGGAGGCAGCAGUGGGGAAUAUUGGACAAUGGGCGCAAGCCUGAUCCAGCCAUACCGCGUGGGUGAAGAAGGCCUUCGGGUUGUAAAGCCCUUUUGUUGGGAAAGAAAAGCAGCAGGUUAAUACCCCGCUGUUCUGACGGUACCCAAAGAAUAAGCACCGGCUAACUUCGUG